CACGUAGGUGACGAGCGUUGUCCGGAUUUACUGGGCGUAAAGAGCGCGCAGGCGGUCGUUCAAGUCGAGUGUGAAAGCCCCCGGCUCAACUGGGGAGGGUCACUCGAUACUGAUCGACUCGAAGGCAGGAGAGGGUAGUGGAAUUCCCGGUGUAGUGGUGAAAUGCGUAGAUAUCGGGAGGAACACCAGUGGCGAAGGCGACUACCUGGCCUGUUCUUGACGCUGAGGCGCGAAAGCUAGGGGAGCAAACGGG
rnacentral:rRNA from 1 species